UACAGAGGUCCCAAGCGUUGUUCGGAUUCACUGGGCGUAAAGAGCUCGUAGGUGGCUUGUUGCGUCUGCCGUGAAAGCCCGUGGCUUAACUACGGGUCUGCGGUGGAUACGGGCAGGCUAGAGGCUGGUAGGGGCAAGCGGAAUUCCUGGUGUAGCGGUGAAAUGCGCAGAUAUCAGGAGGAACACCGGUGGCGAAGGCGGCUUGCUGGGCCAGUUCUGACGCUGAGGAGCGAAAGCGUGGGGAGCGAACAGG
rnacentral:rRNA from 1 species